rnacentral:ncRNA from 2 species
AUAAUAGAACAGGGGAGCAUUCGCUGAGAGGAGAUAAUAUCUCGACCCUUAAGCUGAUCCAGGUAAUACUGGCGUAGUGAGGAAUAAGGACUUAAAA